rnacentral:lncRNA from 11 species
AUGAUACCUAAGAGUUACUGGUUCAAGCUUUACCAAGAUCACAUGGAAAGUUGUGUUCACAAAAAGGAACUUUCCACUAUCUUCCCUCAAAACUGCUGUAGGGGAAAUAUUCAGGCAGACCACAGUGAAGACUCUCCGAUACAUUUGAGCAGGGAAUGCAAGAGUGAGUUUGUUGGUUUGAAAGGUUUAACUACCCUGCCAGGAAAAAGAUAUAAUAGCAGAAUGGGAAACAGUCCAUCUAUUACUACAGACUUAUCAAAUACUGCUACUGCUAACCACAUUAAGGUGAGUGAAGAUGCUUAUUAUGUUGACCAGAAUACAACUGUCAGUCCCAGUAAAACCUACUGAAGCAAUUGCUGGAUAAUAUUAAUGUAAAUCCCAUGGGUCUAUACCAAUUGGUAGUAGCAACUGGAUUAUCAUUCCAUGUGACGUUUCUAUUGAAACUAACAUAAAUCUGAAGGUUUUCAUGAUGGACUCAUCGAUAGAGAUAAAGAUCUGUAUGUUUAUGGUUAGAAAAAUUAUGUUGCUGUUUUUCCUGUGAACUUGGUAGGACUCAUUGUCUUGCAUUCUUUGAAUUGUUUUACAUAGGUAUCUGUUAACAAUAUAAGCAUGUCUAAGGACUGAAGGCCUCCUCAGCUGUGGAACCCUGGUUGUCAUUCUAGCACCAUGGUGAAACAUGGCUGAUUAUUGAGGCCUCUGGGGUCUAAUUCUGUCCAAAUAUGCUUUUUAGUCUGUUUAAGUUUACUCUAUUUGGACUGACAUCUUAACAUACAGAGUGGGAUAACAAUAUUAUGAAUGAACUAGCUGUGCCCGGCCACGCGUUGCUGUGGCGAAGUAUGGUGGUAUGGGAAAUAAAGUAUUGAGGAAUUGGUGGUAGUUAAGGUCAAGGGUAAAGGUUUUCCCCAGACAUUAAGUCCAGUCAUGUCUGACUCUGGGGGUUGGUGCCCAUCUCCAUUUCUAAGCCGAAGAGCCGGCGUUGUCCGUAGACUCCUCCAAGGUCAUGUGGGAUGACUACAUGGAGCGGCGUUACCUUCCCGCCGGAGCAGUACCUAUUGAUGCACUCACAUUUGCAUGUUUUCGAACUUCUGGGUUGGCAGAAGCUGGAGCUAACAGUGGGGGCUCUCUCCGCUCCCCCAAUUCAAACCUGUGGCCUUUCAGUCCAGAAGUUCAGCAGCUCAGCGCUUUAACAUGCUGCGCCAUCAGGGGAUAUUAUUUCCUAAAGGUUGUGAAUAUACAAUAUUUCUGAUUGGUUUUUUUUGUUUGUUGGAGGCAAGUAUGAA